CAUCAUACUAUGAAUUUUGCGGAGGUUGUCCAUUAAGUACCCCUGCCCCCUUCCCCCCUGCCUGACCCAUAUGUUCCUCCCAAAACCCAUUUGCUAGAGGUCAAUUUAACAAAAAAUCAGUUUUUGUACAAAGAAUCUUACCUGCUUUUAUUUCUCAUACUUGUUAGUUGUUAACUGUAGAUUAUGCUUUCAUGUUUCUUAGGACAUGAUCAAUUAUGUAGGUCCCAACUAAAUGUCAUCUUGCUUUAGUUGAUGAGUUUAGUGGGAACUCAGUGAUUGUGGCCGAUGGAGCGGCAGAACCUUGUCCUAGUGGAGUGAUUCAUAACAAGAAAAUGAACCGUGACAUCUAUAUAGUUAGUGUUGACCAUGUUUACAGUGAUUAUUCUCACCUAAAUCUCCUAGAAGAGACUGAUGACGGUAUCACCAAGUUGGAUGAGGCGAAAGGUUAUUUUUUGGGGUGGCCGGCAGAUUUAGUCUUCUUUACUAAUGAGGUUAUGACUUUGGCAAAAAAGAGGAUAAUGAAUUGGUGCAAACCAAAGAGAAAGUUAAUAGUUCAACUCAGAGCAUUCAACUAUUAAAGGCAAAGGCAUAACUAUUCCGAAAAAUAUUGUUGAGAGUCUUGGUGCACAGUGUUCUAUGUUGUAUUAUUGCAUGACUUCAGGAAGUGUUAGAUUAUGAUACUAUGACAAUUCCAUUGAAGGCUCCAUUGUUUUAUCAAAAGGAAGACACACAAAUUUAUGAUACUAGUGAUGAUGUCUCUGAAUUACUACGAGGAGCAUGGGCUAAUAUUUCAUUAAUCCAUGUCUACAUAUUGUAAAUACUAACAUUCAUUUAAGUUAUUUGAAUUUGUUUUACUAUGAAAUAUAUUUUAUUAGAUCCAUUUAUUAUACUAAUUAUUUAUUUUUUCUGUAAAAUGCAGAUACUUAAUUGAAGAGCAUAUCUCAUUAUUUCAGAAGAAUAAAAUUAAAUUCUUGUGCCCCCAAAAAAUUUUAUGCAGCUGAAAUCAAGAAAGAUUUCCUUGAAGUCCAAAUGUAUUUGAAAAAUGUUUUUCUUACUGAAUUAAGGAAAAAGGAUGCACAAUGCAAAUUCAUUUUGGCUCCAUAUAUGGAAGCGAAUCAUUGGGUACUCUAUGUGAUUGAUUUGCGUAUGAGUUUGAUUCUGUUAUUCAAUCACCUCCGAACGCUCGAAACUCAGAGUUGUCCAAAGUAAUGAAGAUGUCACACCUUAAAGGAAA